rnacentral:rRNA from 1 species
GACGAACGCUGGCGGCGUGCUUAACACAUGCAAGUCGAACGAAGUGGCGAACGGGUGAGUAAUACGUGAGUAACCUGCCCUCCUUUUUGGGAUAAGCCUUGGAAACGGGGUCUAAUACCGAAUAAAGGGGGAUGGGCUCGCGGCCUAUCAGCUGGUGGGUGGGGGUAUGGCCUACCAAGGCGGUGACGGGUAGCCGGCCUGAGAGGGUGACCGGGCAAAUGGGGACGGGGGUACGGCCCAGAGUCAGGCGGGAGGCGGCAGGGGGGGAUAUUGGGCGAUGGGCGGAUGCCGGAUGCAGGGGUGCGGCGUGGGGGAUGAAGGCUUGCGGGGUGUAAACCGCUGUCGCGAACGAACGGGUAGGUGGAGAAGAAGCGCCGGCUAACUACGUGCCAGCAGCCGCGGUAAUAC